UUGAUUAUCUACUGCUUUGUCUA
rnacentral:piRNA from 1 species